rnacentral:rRNA from 1 species
UACGUAGGGUGCAAGCGUUGCCCGGAUUUAUUGGGCGUAAAGGGCGCGUAGGCGGCCACGCACGUCCGUUGUGAAAUCGCCCGGCUCAACUGGGCGGGGUCGGCGGAUACGGCGUGGCUGGAGCAAGCUAGGGGGCAAUGGAAUUCCCGGUGUAGUGGUGGAAUGCGUAGAUAUCGGGAGGAACAUCAGUGGCGAAGGCGGUUGCAUGGAGCUUUGCUGACGCUGAGGCGCGAAAGCGUGGGGAGCGAACCGG